rnacentral:misc_RNA from 1 species
UUAAAAGUCAUCAGAUACAAAACUUCGCUGGUUGAAUUCCACUAGCGGAAUGCGGGCUACUUCUAGCGACUCUUGCCCUUUACCCUUCUGGCACCUUUGAUGAAGUAAAGGGCAGUCGUAGAUAUACAAUCGCAAAAGAGAGGAAGGCAGACCAUUCUUCGGAAAGGAGACAAGCUUAGGGCAACUAACCACCUCAAGAUGUUUAAUCGACGUGAGGCUUUGGAAACCUUUGUUAGAAAGGUAUUUCAGGUCUUUGAAUCCUUCAAUGGUAAGACUGAUAAGAGAGGCAGGCAACUCCAUAUUUAGC